CAAAGGUUUGGUCCUAGCCUUGAAAUCAAUUAACACCUAACUUACACAUGCAAGUCUCCGCACCCCUGUGAAAACGCCCUUAAUACCCUACUGGGAUAAGGAGCCGGUAUCAGGCACAUUAACAUGCCCAAGACACCUAGCUAUGCCACACCCACAAGGGACAUCAGCAGUGAUUAACAUUAAAAAUGAGCGACAGCUCGAUUUAGUUAAUGUGUAGAGAGCCGGCUAAUCUGGUGCCAGCCGCCGCGGUUACACCAAGAGGCUCAAAUUGAUUUUAUUCGGCGUAAAGCGUGAUUAAAGUUAACCCAUAAUAGAGUUAAACUAAAACUAAGCUGUAGCACGCUUGUUUAUAAGAAAUUCAAAAACGAAAGUUAUUCUAAAAAAUCAACUUGAACUCACGACAACUAGGAUACAAACUGGGAUUAGAUACCCCACUAUGCCUAGUCGUAAACUUUAAAUUACAUCUCAAUCGCCUGGGAACUACGAGCAAAGCUUAAAACCCAAAGGACUUGACGGUACCCCACAUCCACCUAGAGGAGCCUGUCCUAUAAUCGAUAACCCCCGUUUAACCUCACCAUUUUUAGCAAAUCAGCCUGUAUACCUCCGUCGUCAGCUUACCACGUGAGCGCAUAUUAGUAAGCUUAAUGUCAUUACAUCAACACGUCAGGUCAAGGUGCAGCAAAUAAAAUGGGAAGAGAUGGGCUACACUUUCUAUUUUAGAACAUACGAAAGACUACCUAUGAAAUCUAGUCGGAAGGCGGAUUUAGUAGUAAAAAGAAAUCAGAGAGUUCUUUUUAACUCGGCACUGGGGUGUGUACACACCGCCCGUCACCCUCUUCAAAGCUGAACAUUAGUACAUAACACACCAACGCAAUAUAGAAGAGGUAAGUCGUAACAUGGUAAGUAUACCGGAAGGUGUGCUUGGAUUC
rnacentral:ncRNA from 1 species